rnacentral:rRNA from 1 species
GGGGAUCUGCCCGAUAGAGGGGGAUAACCACUGGAAACGGUGGCUAAUACCGCAUAACGUCGCAAGACCAAAGAGGGGGACCUUCGGGCCUCUCACUAUCGGAUGAACCCAGAUGGGAUUAGCUAGUAGGCGGGGUAACGGCCCACCUAGGCGACGAUCCCUAGCUGGUCUGAGAGGAUGACCAGCCACACUGGAACUGAGACACGGUCCAGACUCCUACGGGAGGCAGCAGUGGGGAAUAUUGCACAAUGGGCGCAAGCCUGAUGCAGCCAUGCCGCGUGUAUGAAGAAGGCCUUCGGGUUGUAAAGUACUUUCAGCGGGGAGGAAGGCGAUGUGGUUAAUAACCGCAUUGAUUGACGUUACCCGCAGAAGAAGCACCGGCUAACUCCGUGCCAGCAGCCGCGGUAAUACGGAGGGUGCAAGCGUUAAUCGGAAUUACUGGGCGUAAAGCGCACGCAGGCGGUCUGUUAAGUCAGAUGUGAAAUCCCCGGGCUUAACCUGGGAACUGCAUUUGAAACUGGCAGGCUUGAGUCUCGUAGAGGGGGGUAGAAUUCCAGGU